UACGAAGGGGGCUAGCGUUGCUCGGAAUCACUGGGCGUAAAGCGCACGUAGGCGGAUUGCUAAGUCAGGGGUGAAAUCCUGGAGCUCAACUCCAGAACUGCCUUUGAUACUGGCGAUCUUGAGUCCGGGAGAGGUGAGUGGAACUGCGAGUGUAGAGGUGAAAUUCGUAGAUAUUCGCAAGAACACCAGUGGCGAAGGCGGCUCACUGGCCUGGUACUGACGCUGAGGUGCGAAAGCGUGGGGAGCAAACAGG
rnacentral:rRNA from 1 species